UAAGGCAUAUUGGUCAAUGGAGGCAACUCUGAACCAGCCAUGCCGCGUGCAGGAAGACAGCCCUCUGGGUCGUAAACUGCUUUUAUCUGGGAAUAAACCUACUUACGUGUAAGUAGCUGAAUGUACCAGAAGAAUAAGGAUCGGCUAACUCCGUGCCAGCAGCCGCGGUAAUACGGAGGAUCCAAGCGUUAUCCGGAUUUAUUGGGUUUAAAGGGUGCGUAGGCGGCCUGUUAAGUCAGGGGUGAAAGACGGUAGCUCAACUAUCGCAGUGCCCUUGAUACUGACAGGCUUGAAUGAACUAGAGGUAGGCGGAAUGUGACAAGUAGCGGUGAAAUGCAUAGAUAUGUCACAGAACACCGAUUGCGAAGGCAGCUUACUAUGGUUUUAUUGACGCUGAGGCACGAAAGCGUGGGGAUCAAACAGG
rnacentral:rRNA from 1 species